UUGUCUCAAAGAUUAAGCCAUGCAUGUCUCAGUACAAGCCGCAUUAAGGUGAAACCGCGAAAGGCUCAUUAAAUCAGUUAUGGUUCCUUAGAUCGUACCCACAUUUACUUGGAUAACUGUGGUAAUUCUAGAGCUAAUACAUGCAAACAGAGCUCCGACCGGAGACGGAAGGAGUGCUUUUAUUAGAUCAAAACCAAUCGGCGGCGGGCGCGUUCGCGCGUCCGUUCGCCGCUCAACCUGGUGACUCUGAAUAACUUUCUGCUGAUCGCACGGUCUCGCACCGGCGACGCAUCUUUCAAAUGUCUGCCUUAUCAACUGUCGAUGGUAGGUUCUGCGCCUACCAUGGUCGUAACGGGUAACGGGGAAUCAGGGUUCGAUUCCGGAGAGGGAGCCUGAGAAACGGCUACCACAUCCAAGGAAGGCAGCAGGCGCGCAAAUUACCCACUCCCGGCACGGGGAGGUAGUGACGAAAAAUAACGAUACGGGACUCAUCCGAGGCCCCGUAAUCGGAAUGAGUACACUUUAAAUCCUUUAACGAGGAUCAAUUGGAGGGCAAGUCUGGUGCCAGCAGCCGCGGUAAUUCCAGUUCCAAUAGCGAU
rnacentral:rRNA from 1 species